rnacentral:tRNA from 1 species
UCCCCAGUAGCUCAGUCGGUUAGAGCGACGGACUGUUAAUCCGCAGGUCGUAAGUUCGAAUCUUACCUGGGGAGCCA